CCUGCGAACUUAGCUGCUGUGCCACCGGGCCGGCCCCUUUAUGGCCCAUUUUGAGUUAAUUUUUAUAUCUGGUAUGAGGUGUGAAUCACAGAUCAUCUUUUUCUCUUUUGCAUAUGGAUGUUCAAUUGUUCAGCACUAUUUGUUGAAAAGACUAGUCUUUCUCCAGUGAAUUGCCUUUGUAUCUUUGUCAGAUAUCAGUUGUCCCUAUAUGUAUGGGUUUAUUUUUGGACUUUUUAAUUCUGCUCUAUUGAUAUUUUUGUCUGUCUUUAUGUUAAUACCACAAUGUCUUGAUUGCUGUAGCUUUAUAGUAAAUCUUGAAAUUAGGAAGUGUUAGCCCUCCAACUUUGUUCUGCUGAAGGUCCUUUGUAAAUGGCAUUAUCAUCAGUGCCUUCGUUGCCACUCAGAGAUCCUUUUGGGUGGACUUAGUGAAUUUCCUCUCUUUAUCUCCACUGUGGCUCUUACAGACGUGUGCCCCUCUGCUCAAGCCCCUACCUUGCUCUACGCCUCUCACUGUCAGUUCUUGACUUUGCCCCCUGCUUGGUCCACACGUCCAGGUCCUCAGCUGAGAACUCCGUUAAGUGGUUUCUCUCCCCCAGCUGUAAGGUUAUCUACAUUUGCACUAGUCCUUACCUGCUUCCUUCCUGGCUCGGAGAACAAUACAGGUUAUAAGGAUGAUCGGAUAAUUAUAGCUAACAAAUACUGAGUUCUUUCUAUGGGCCAAUCACAGAUACCAUUUCUCAUUUAAUCUGCAGAAUCUGUCAGAUGGAGAUACUGUCAUUGUUCUCACUUUACAGAUGAGGGACCGGAGGCAGCGAGGGUCAUUCUGUUUCCCGUGGUUGUGUGGCUGGUAGGAGUUGGAGCUAGAAGUCAAGCCCAGGUCUGUCUGAUUUCUGUCCUUCCUCCUGUCCCAAGCUCACAGCCUGUCAGUGCUCUCCGUCCUAUCCCCUCCUGGCUCAUCAAGAAGCUUGCUCCAUUUGUUACCCUUCCUCUCUUUGUCUCUUCCACUUUCCCUCUCUCCUUGCUUCUUUCCAUCAAGGUGAUCAAACCAAAACAAGGGUCUCAACUACUGUAUGAAGUUGAAGUUUUUCAAAUGUUUGUCUGCGGCCAGACUUUGAUUCUGCAGAUUCAUAUGUUCACUUGCGUAUUGGAUAUCUCAUGGCCUCUCAAACAUCAAAACAAAACUUACCACUUCCCUCCACACUGGCUCUUCCUCUGGUGUUCUCUGGCCAGCCAGUGGCUCUGCCAGCCACACAGUAGCCCAAGCCAGAAACUGGCAGCAGAAAGACUCAGAUUUUGGUUUCAAAUCCAAACUUACUAGACAGAAGACAUUUGAACCUCAAUUUCCCAACCUGAAAAAUGGGCGUAAUAAUUCUAUUUCACAGGGUUGCUUUCAGAGCUAAAUGACCAUAUUAGCUGCUUAAUAAUAAUUAUUAUUGUUGUCAUCACUGUCAUUGUUAUCGUCAUCACCUAUUACUCCCUCCUUCUUUCUAGUAACCUUUACCUACUUGCAGUUCCACCAAAACAUCCUGCACCAUCAUUUUAAUUUCUUUGAUUCUGCUAUUAACUUCUGCUGGAAGGUUUUCCUGACAUUCUAGACCAGUGAUCACUAAAGUGCCACCCAUGGGGGUGCAGGAAGAAAACAGCAGAACUUCUAUUUAUGUUCACUUAAAAAGUGUCUUAGGUUAAGGUUCUAUUUAUAUGUGUUUUAUAAUAUAUUAAUAGAGUAGAUAUAAUAUUUAGAAAUAAGUGUAACUAUUGAGGGUACGCAUUCAAAAUUUUUGAGAAGGACAUACGAUAGAAAUAGUUGGGAGGUCAGCAUUCUUGACGGGUUAAGGGCCCCUAUUUUGUUCUUCUCCAGAACAUCGUGCUGUUUUGUCGUAGUUGCUUGUCCCCCGCAUGGACACCCUGAGGGCAGGGACUGUGAUUCCGUCAGGGUUAAGUUGCAGACAACAGCCUCGACUCUAGUUAGUUUUAGCAGAAAUGGAUUCAUUAUAGGCUGUUGGCUUCUAGCAGAGGUUCUUAAACUUGGGCACGCAUCAACAUCAGCAGAAAGGCUCCUCAGAGCCCAGAGUGCUGGGCCCCACCCCCCAGAGCUUCUGAUUCAGUGGGUCUAUGUAGGGCCCAAGAAUCUGCAUUUCUAUCAAGUUCUCAGGUGCUGCUGAUACUGCUGGGCCAGAGACCACCCUUUGGGAACCACUGAAUUACAGAAUGGUGGCAAAGGCUGAAGAAGGAGGCUCCAGGUGGGGGAUCUGCGCCCAAGUCCCAGAGCCACCCUGCAAAACUGGCCUGGCCAGGUAGUGCUGCACCUGCUGCUGCCACGGCUGACCCAGAAACCACACUGCCUCUGCGGCAGGCCGGAACGCUGCCCACGCAGGAAGCUGUGCUGAUGCUGAUGCUGAUGCUGCUCAGCAUCCACGAGGUUAGAGACUGACUAGACGUUAGUGCCUUUGUCACCCCUGCUGGAGAAGGUCCAAAGCACCUCCACCCUGUGCUUCUAGAGGAGCAGUGUGGUGGCCCUAACAAUGCUCACGCUGCAUCAUGUACCAGAGUAUCUGCCUGGGGAUCCCCGAGGGCGGCUCAUGGCGUCAGCUCAGGAGGACAGUUGGAGAACCACUGACUGAAAUGAUGACAUUUCUUGCUUCUUUAACUGUCCAGCAGCAGCUGUGUUUAUAUUCCUGACCCGAGUCAUGGUUUUCCUUCAGGAACCGUCUGUACCUGGAAGUGCUGAGGCCUGCAAGCAGUGCGUUCAACUUCACAGUGUACCUAGAGACAGGGCCUUUGUGUGGUUUUGGAAUUGCUCUCCAUGCAUUCCCCAAGUCGUGAGCCUCCAGGUCCACUCCACCAGUUGACCUACUUUUUCAGCUGAAAGACAAUGGCCUGGCUUCCUAAAGUCCUAUGUCUAUAGAUUCCAGCCAGGUGGGACCCAAGGUGCCUAUUGAGUUAAUUUCAAAGGUGUAAUGUGUAAUGGAAGAAGGACGGGACGUGGAAUAUGGAGUUUGGAGUCAGAAGACAGGUUCAAGGCAAACUAAUCUAUGGUGUAGAAGUCAGACAGUGGUUAGGAGUUUACUGGAAAAGGGCACGAGGGGACUUUCUGGGUGAUGGAAAUGUUCCAUAUCCUUUCCUGGUGGUAGUUACACAAGUGUAUACAUUUGUCAAAUUCAUCAAACGACACUGAAGAUCUGUGUGUUUUUUACUGAAUGUAAAUUAUACAGCAGUUUUAAAAAGGGCAGGUUCAAGUCCUGGCCCUCUCUGCUACAUACUGUACAGACCACUUCUUCAUCCCUUGGCCUUGUUUUCCCACCUACAAAAUGGAAGGACCACUUGUACCUGUGCUGUGGGGGAUCGCGUACAUUAAUGAGACCGCGUGAGUCAGAAUGCUCUGCAAAUGAUAAGCAGCCCAUCCAUGGUGACUCCCAUUGUUAUGCUUUCCAGCCAGCUGCCCUCGAGAGCAGAUUACCGAGCUGGUACAAAUCUGUGGGCUCUGCUUUGCAACUUCCUUGGAGAUUAGUGUUUAUCUGUCUAUUUUAAGGAGACUCUGGAGAUAUCAAAAUGCUGCAGAAAAGCAAAUGGAAUAUGGAUUUGCCAGGGAGAGGAGAGCAGGCUGGAAAGGAACAGCUGGGGAGAGAGCCAUCAAUCCAGCACGGCAGCAGGGCCAGACGGACGCCGAGAGGGAGCCGCUAAAUGCCUGUGAGAGUCGUGACCAGUGAAAGCAGCGUGAGUUAAAAAAAAUCACAUCUUGCCAAACAAACUGGGUCACAUUGGUGAUGGAGUUAGUCACUGAGCAGAGACGGGAAAGCAUUUUCAGGGGAAAAAGCAGAAGGUGUGGAGCCGGUGGUGACUCAGCUGGAAGUGGCAAAGGCCUCUUGGGCCUCCUGGCCUGGUUUGGUAGGUAAGUGAAAGAUUCUCCACGUGGCUCCCGCUGGGCAUCUUGUGGUAUUUCGGUUUUGAACUUGAUCUUUACUCCUAAAGGCACUCACAAACAACCUUUACAUUGGAAUCAAGAGCACAGCACAAAUUUUAAAAUGGAAAAUCGUAGAGAGAAGCCAAGUUAAGCUGAGACAGGGAGAGUGGGAAGGCCAUUCUGGAGUUCGCCCUCGGAAUUCAAGUGGGAGGUGAUGUCUGUCUGAAGGCACCCCAGCUCCUGAGGGGCGGCGCCGGCCAAGUCUUUGAAUGCAGACACUUUAAAAUCAAGGCAGACAGCAAAUGCCCUUUGGCCACAAGAUCCUAUAAGAUGAAUGAACGACGCUGAAAUCAAAUUUUCAAUUCUUAGUCACUAAAAUAAAGCUAGAAUAGGGAAAGAUUCAACAGGAAGAAAUAAUCUACAAGAGAAAUCUGAUGUGUGAAAUUUUGAUUUUAUCCUCAUUAUAAAAAUUUUGGUGCUUUCUGCUAGAUAUUUCUGCCAAGAAAUGUGAUAUGUUGAAAAAGAAGAGGAAAUAUACUCUGGAGGCUGUGACUAUAAAAGGCUGUUUAAAGUGAUCGGAAUCAGUCGAGGUUCUCCCAGCAACCGUGGUUAUAAAAUUAGGAUCUUAAACUACCAAAUCUGGGUGAGAAAAAAAAACUUCAGUAAAAGCGACAUCUAAAUUUAUGUUAUAUAACUUACAUUUCCCCACAGUGUUUGUCUUUUCUCUGGGCACGUCAGACCUUUUAUGUCGUUAAUUUCCGACCCUAAGAGCCAUUCCUAUUGGAGCAAGGCAGCGAGAUGGGGUGAGGGGGCACCGUGAGAAAGCAGGGGUGUCUUUCCUGUGACCUCUGAAUUGGAAAGAGGGCGCCACGGUGAGAUGCCGACAUGUGCACGUGGGGUGUGUCAGUGUGUUGAUGCCCGUGCUCAGGAUGCUGAACAAAACCUGGGUGGGAGGAGCUUUCCCCACCCAGGCCUUUGUCUCACUGGAAAUCUGAUGCCUUAAACCUCCGCCUCAACCCUCAGUGACUCCAGUCUGUAGCUGUACUGCUCUGUUAGUCAGCCCGCACAGCAUCUGAGACUUGGCCUUUUGCAGCCUGGUGCUAGCUCCAUAGGCUUCUUCGCCCCCCUUUGUCGAGGUCUUCAGCAACAGUUGAAGCUACAACUUCUGCUCCAAGUGACUCGGGGCUGUGAAUCGUCAGAGAAUCCAUUAUUUCUCCCUGGUUUUGGAGCUGACAGACAUGGGUGUGAAGCUCAGGUCCGUCGCUUAUUGGCCAAUUAGGAAAACUCUGUGAACACUGAUUUUCUUGCCUUGAAGGAUGGCACAGAGCUGAUACGCAUGAGCUAUAAUUAGCUGCUUAACAUUUUUGCCAGUGACUUGAAUGGACCUUGAUGGUGAGAUUGCCAAGUCAGCAGGCAACCAGAAACAAACAACAGACUCAAGGUCUCAAAGACUGUGUUUUUGUCCCAAAUCAACUUUCCAAGUACAGAACUGGGGGACAUGUGAUUUAAUGGCAGCACCUGUGUGAUCCUGUGAUAUAAUAAGAAAUAUGUAUUUUGUCUUCAUCCCUCGUUCCUGGUACCAGAUCUUCUAAAACCCUUGGAAUUUCCUGAGUGACAGGGGUGACAGGAGCAUCUUUGUUAUUUAUAAUAAGCCCCUUUCAACCAUACUUGAGUUUAUGCUAAUGAAGUGACCCUUGUGGUGGUGGUGGUGGGGGGGUCCCUUGAGAGCUUCAGGAUGGGAGCUCAUCGCCUAUGUGAUUAGAGGGUUGGAACUUUCAGCCCCACCCCCGACCUCCAGGAAGGGGAGAGGGACCAGAGAUUGAGCUAAUCACCAAAGGCCAGUGAUUUAAUCAAUCAUACUUAUGUAAUGAAACCUCCCUAAAACCCCCUAAACCCUGGGGUUUGGAGAGCUCCUGGGUUGGUGAACACACUGAGGUCCUGGGAGGGUGACUGCCCAUGGAGGGCAUGGAAGCUCCCCCAUCCCCCUCCCCUAAUACCUUGUCCCAUGUAUCUCUUCCAUUUGUUCAUUCGUAUCUUUUAUAAUAUCCUUCACAAUAAACUAGUAGUAGUGAGUAA